AAAAAGUUAUUUCUGGGUUAAAACCUAAAUUUUAUGGGUUAAAAAUUUUAGUUUUUAGGCCAAGGGUUAGAGAUGGUUUAAGGGGGCUAUUAUUCUCCAACACUCCCCAAUGAACAUGACAUACUAGAAAAAAAUGUCUGACGAGUCGAAGUCAAACCUCGUCUUGGAGAUCAUUGUGAGUAGAACCAUUAAUUUAAAACAUAUAUUUUGUAAUAUUCUCUCUAAUGACUUGAAUUUUACUUUAGAAACAUAAUGAAUUUUGUUUUAAAUUUCUUUUUAAGUUUUGGUUUGAACUUAUUGCACUAAAAUCACAACUCGUUUUUAAUUAUCUCAGGUGAAUCUUGACUUGGACACCAAUGUUAAGGAACAUUAUGACUACGUUAACAGACUCAUGUCUGGACGAUACAAGGAGUUCAAGUAUGAGUUACAUGCAUACUUUUUGGAGUGGGCAUCGGUUGAGGAGGCAUUGGCCAAUCUUUUGAUAGAGAUGGACUCAAGACCUGAGGAACCUGGAUAGUAGGAGUUUUUAUGCGAACAUUUUCAGUUAGAGAAAUUUCUGGUAUUAAU
rnacentral:lncRNA from 1 species